rnacentral:ribozyme from 1 species
AAAAAAAAGAAAAAGAAAAAGCCUGUCAUGGUGACUUCUUUUUUUUUCUUUCUUGUACAUUUUUUUUUU